UCCUCUCUCUACAAAGGUAAAGGCGGAGGGAGAGAGGGGUGACUCAUCGUACCAGAUGGGCAAUGAGAAUGCUUAUUCAGGGGGCUGGAAAGAAGACUGAGGGCUCUGAGGCAGGGGACCGGGUGGAGUCUCAGUGGAGAGCGGGGUGCUAGCAGGGAACUGAGAGCUCGUGCCUCCAGGGCUGUUUGCACCUGUCUCAUGUCCCCCUCCCGAAGCCUGCACUGUAGAAAUGAUUUAAUACCGGUUCACAAGGGAGGAAGUUGUGUCCUCUUAGCGCACAAGUGCGAAGAGACAGAGUGCAGUUUCCCGGGAAAGGGAGAGUGCCACGUGGGACCUGCCAGUCGUUGACUUGCACGUGUUUGUCCAGGGAGGGACUAUACAGGGCCUCUGUUUCCCCGAAUGAACAAAGUUCUGGUUCAGACAGACUUACACAUCUUGUUUUCAGGUCCCCUGGGCCGCCGUGACGCUGCUUCUGCUGCUGUUGCUGCCGCCCGCGCUGCUGUCGCCCGGGGCGGCCGCGCAGCCCCUGCCCGACUGCUGCCGCCAGAAGACGUGCUCCUGCCGCCUCUACG